AACGAACGCUGGCGGCAGGCUUAACACAUGCAAGUCGAGCGCCCCGCAAGGGGAGCGGCAGACGGGUGAGUAACGCGUGGGAAUCUACCCAUCUCUACGGAAUAACGCAUGGAAACGUGUGCUAAUACCGUAUACGUCCUUCGGGAGAAAGAUUUAUCGGAGAUGGAUGAGCCCGCGUUGGAUUAGCUAGUUGGUGGGGUAAAGGCCUACCAAGGCGACGAUCCAUAGCUGGUCUAAGAGGAUGAUCAGCCACACUGGGACUGAGACACGGCCCAGACUCCUACGGAAGGCAGCAGUGGGGAAUAUUGGACAAUGGGCGCAAGCCUGAUCCAGCCAUGCCGCGUGAGUGAUGAAGGCCCUAGGGUUGUAAAGCUCUUUCACCGGUGAAGAUAAUGACGGUAACCGGAGAAGAAGCCCCGGCUAACUUCAUGCCAGCAGCCGCAGUAACAC
rnacentral:rRNA from 1 species